CACGGGGGGAGCAAGCGUUGUUCGGAAUCACUGGGCGUAAAGGGCGUGUAGGCGGUCAGGUAAGUGAGAUGUGAAAUGCCCCGGCUCACCCGGGGACCGGCAUCUCAUACUGCUUGGCUUGAGUACGGGAGAGGAUGUGGGAAUUCCUGGUGUAGCGGUGAAAUGCGUAGAUAUCUGGAGGAACACCGGUGGCGAAGGCGGCAUCCUGGACCAACACUGACACUGAGGAGCGAAAGCCAGGGGAGCAAACGGG
rnacentral:rRNA from 1 species